ensembl:lncRNA
CUGAACGCUGAAAACGUCUCUUUACAGGAAAGACCCUGGUUACCGACCAAUAAACCAAUAAUGAGACUUCCCAUUUUAGUUUCAAAUAUCUCUAAAAACAAAUUGCAUUUUGUUCAAACCCAGACUGAUCAUUCCAUUUAAAAAGCUGGUGUAUUUGAGAGAGGAAAACGGUGAGAGGGGGAUCAUGGUCCCAGCCAGGAAGAGACGGAGUUCAGCUGAAGUCCAACAAUGAUACAGGAUUGUGCAUUCAACUUGCAGGAUAUUCUUCUUUUGAAUUGAUGGAGUUUAUAAUGUCUACAAAAAAUUUUCCAUCUGGAUUAGAUCAACCUCAAAUGGAAGUUGAAGAAGAAGUAUACACUCCAGUGUAUCCACUGGGAUCAUCAGGAUAGGAAGACUUUUCCAAAAACAACACGAGUUUGGUUUCCUAAAUUGGACAACAGGGAGAGCCAGUACAGCUUCAGCCAGCUCAGUUAUGGGAAGCUAUUGUGGCCUUUUAACUACCGUAUCAGACAAACUCCAAUUCCAGUAAUAAACUAGGUGCUGGAUUCACUCUACAUCCAUGGAAAAUUUUCAUUUUAAGAAACGGUGUUUGGAAUACUCUGCUGGCACUUCAAACUCCACGGCUGAGUUUAUCAAAUGAGAGGCACAGGAGAUUGCAGAAUGUGAAAGAAUUGAGUGGGAGAGAAAAGAGAAUACAACAAAUGUUAAGUAUUAAAAAGGGGAUAUUCUUUUUAUUAUUUUUAUUUUUUCAUUUUUAAAGUUUUAUUGAAGUAUAGUUGAUUUAUAAGUUUGUC